UUUGAAAUUAGAACCAACAGGCCCGGAUAUCUUGGCGUUCCCCCUGGUUCUGAGGGCUGUUUGGGUACUCAGCAAAGCUAGGGUUGAAUUUAGUUUCCGUCGCUGUUCAUUCUACACUGCGUACUGAGUACCCACUGUGUGGCAGGUGCUGGAGUUACCAAGCUCUUGAAAAAGUUUUUAGAAAUUUGUUUUGAGACAGGGUCUCACUAUGUAGAUCAGGCUGGCCUUGCUUUCACUGUUGUAGCCCUGGCUGGCCUCCAUUCACCUGCCUUAGUAUCCUGAGUGCUGGAGUUACAGGCAUGUGUCCCUACAGCUAGCUAGAAACUCUUAACACCAUUAUUUGACAGCUUUUGGGAUAUUCUCCACUCCCAGCAGCAUUAUAAUUUUUUACUGCCACAAGAAUUUUUUAACUUCUUUACUACGGCAAUAAUUGCACACUGGACUACAGAUGAACACCAGGUUCCUGCUCUAGAAAGUAUGGGGCCCAUGCUGGGGACACAAUGAAGUAUAAGAUGGUGAGUGGAUAAGGCAGGGUCCCACUAUAUAAUUCAGGCUGGCCUUGAAUUUACCAGGAAGCCAAAGUUGGCCUGGAACACAAGAUGAUCCUCCUGUCUCAGCCUCCUGAGUUCUGGGAUUACAGGAAUUGACUAAUAAAACGAUGAAAAUAAAAAAAAUGGAUCUACCUCUGCAAUGCCUGGUAUUCGAAGUCGGGCAGAAUGAAUAUUUAGCUUAUCUUCUUUGAAGUCUGAGGUUUCAUAUAUUUUUCCUUUUGGAUCCUGAAGAAUAAUUUCUGGCUUCCUUCUUGUCCAGACUUUUGGGGAGCUCAAGUCGUGAAUAUUAAGUUUAAGAUGAAGGAAACAAAGUGUGGCAAUGUCUAGCUCCCUAGAUGAAUGACAUGAAGAUUAAAUGAAUUAAGAGAUACAGAGGAAUUACUUCUAAAUGUUAAAGGGAAGAUCUACAUGCCUCAACUUUUCUCAUGCUUCCAAGUGUGAAAUACAAACUAUAUGUACAGCAUUUGGAAAUUUAUUUUUGAGAGCCAAUGAGGUAGACUGGAGGAAGAAAUAAAAGAUUCUGCAGUCUAAGAAGACUGAGCUAGCCAGGUCUGGGAUUGGAGCCUGGAGACUGAAAUGCCAUCACUACCAGAUUCAUCACUGACAAAUCUGCUUGGACUUGCUGCUGAUGACUGAUGGGGCUCCGGGCCCACUGCCCACAUUCAAGUGUCCUUCUCAGAGCCCCAAGUCCCACUAGAGGUCUCAGGUUCUCACUGUGGCACAGGCUGGCCUUGAACUCACAGCAAUCCUGCUGCCUCAGCCUCCUGAGUGCUAGGAUUACAGGUAAAGGCAUCCAAGUAAGAUACCUUCUUAAUUAGCCAAAUAUUCAGAUGGCAGAGGGCAAAGAAAGGAAAGCACUUGCAGUUCCCCGAGAACAGAGAUUGUGCCUGGUUUGAUUCUGGUCUCCAGUUCCUGGUACAGCAUUCUCAGAGCAGGAGCACAAGAGAAGGUGCACUGCUGUCAGCCCAGACAGUAACACAGUCCUAUCCGGAGCCCAGAAAGGAUAGAAAACACUUUAACCUGUUUCAAUGCUCAUCUGUGUGACUGCUGGAUCCGCAGAUGGUCCCAAGGCAAUAAAAUGAAUGACGAUCCCGCUUUCUUUCACUUUAUUAACACAAUUGCUUGCACCGUUGUCUUCCCCAUCAGUCAGCAGCAGUAUUUCAGACCCACUCAACUGGAAGCUUGCAUUUGUAAUCACCUGCAAAUGUAUUCAGGCACAUUAAGCACUGUAGGUCAAACAGAUCAUUGGGAAAGUAGACAAAUAUGAAGAAAAUAAAGAAAAAUAUGUAGAGGGCUGGGGAUAUAACUCAGUGGCAUAAGUGCCUGCCUGGCAAGGGCAAAGUCAUGACUUUGAUCCCUGAUACCCCCAAAAAAUGUAGAGUAGAAGAGAAUCUUUGUUUUAAAGUCAGAAUCCACAAUCAAUAUCUGGCUUAUCAUUUUUCUAUUUAUUUGGACUGGAUAUUGAACCAGCAUCACUGCACUGAACUAUAUCCACAGCCCACUUGGUCUUUAAUUUGGGACAAGGUUCCUCUAAGUCACUUCAGUUUGGCUCGAACUUGUGCUGUGUCUGACUCAGCCUCCUAGAGUGCUGGGGCACGUACUAACUUAUCUAGUUGUCCUAAGGAAUUGGGGAUAUGAAUGUUUUGUUGCCCCCUGUUGCAGGCAGUAUUUAUCCAAAUGAACACUGUAUCCCAAAAGAGCAUUGUCUGGCUAAAAUUUCAUGUACUACAUCAAACAGGAGUAGUAAAAGUGAACAUUCUGUCCAUACCUGAUUUUAGAGGAAAUGCUUCCAGUUUUUCCUCAUUCAGCAUAAAACUGCAGAAGUUAAUUCAUCUAAUAUGUCAGUCCAUCUAAUAUGUAACCAAAGAGUCAAUUCCAAUUAAACCAUUGGUGGAUAAAUGUUGGUGGUUUGGGAAAUGCUGCUUACAUUAAACAAGGCCUUCAUCACAGCCUAGGAAACUCAAAUCAUUUAGACACCCCAAAAGUACUUUAAAAAAAACUCUCAUUCUCUUUACUCUCCUCUUAGAAGCCUUUAGUAUACAAAGUUUGUGGUCUGUAUAGCUCGAUUCAUUAAUAAUCCACCUUAACAUAAAAAUGUCAUUGAUUCCAAAUCAGAAAAUUCCUAGCAUGCUUGUAAGUAAAAGAAAAGUUCAGUUCUAAACAUAGUGAGGUUUGAGAUUUAUUGGAUAACUAUUAAUUUCCUUCUAGGAGAGGCUAAUGUAAAAGUAAGCAAUGUUAGUGAUGAUCAAAGACCAAAUGAGAAAUGUUUCUUGGGUUCUGUUUGUAGCUUCAAUGCCUUACUUAUAAUAGUCUCACAUUUUCAAAGUCAGAGUUUUGAAUCUAGCUGCCCAUGGAGAGGAGAAAAGUAUUUUAACUAGAAACUGCAAUGCAUUUUAUUUUCUCUGUUUGCUUUGAGUUUCCAGGAACAUUUUCUUUUCUUUUUUUUUAGGUGCCAGGGAUCCAACGCAUGACCUCGAGAUUGCCAGGCAGGUGUUUAAGCUACUGAGCUAAAUCCCCAGCCCCUCUGUUUGCUUUAAUUGAUAAUGGCUUCCUUAGUACCAUUUUGAGAAUCGGAUUCUAGCAAAAGAAAAAAGAAUGACAUGCCAGAUGACCAGCCAAUUUCUUGGACUUGGAGAAGAGGUACAUGUAGAAUCAGGGAGGAGAGUUGAGAUGCAGAAAUCCCUAAUAAAGCUGGAAUCAGAGAAAAAAUUCAUUGUUCACAUUAGAAAUUUUGCAUGCCAUGAGACAAAGUGUUAUAUAUAUGAAAAAUACAUUUUGAUAUGCAUUGAACCAAACUGAAAUAAACAUUUAUGGCAUUAA